CUGAUCUCCUUCGCAUGGACUGAACUCUUCGCAUGAGGUGGCCAAAGUACUGGAGUUUCAGCUUUAGUAUCAUUCCUUCCAAAGAAAUCCCAGGGCUGAUCUCCUUCAGAAUGGACUGAUCUUCAGGGGGACCCAAUACGGCUACCUAAUUCCAAUCCCACCCAACGUCGCCUAUUCCCCAUGAAGGGGAGUGGGGGGAGGUGCUGGGCGAACUCAAAAGUCUUGCUGGGGCGGGGGAUGAGGGUGAGGGGAGCGGCUGGCUGAAGGAUCUUGGAAUAAGAGACACCACCUGGGAAAUAAGAGACACGUUGCUGAGGUGGUCGUGGCUCAGGGAGGCCCGGGAGAGAGCGAAUGCGCCUGCGUGGCUUGGGCAAUUCCCCGGAGCGAAGGGAAACACACAGAGGAGUCAGUCCAGUCAGUCCCGGCCCGAAGCAAUUCGGAGGAGGUCGGGUUACUCUCCGGAACUCUUGUGGGAAAGAAACCAAGCAUCUGCCAGUGUCCGAGCUCACACUUGUACAGAGCCUCUCAUUCACUCUGAAGCUGCAGGUUUUCGGGAACACCGAGGCCUUGUUGAUAGGUGAGACAGACCAGUAGUAGAAUGAAAAUCACCUGGGAGUCUUGGUUCAUGGUGAGGCCCAAGGACCCCAUCAGCAGCACAAUCUAAUGGGGACUAAUUGGCGUCACGUUUUCAACCCCAGUAUUGCAAAUGGGGACCCUUCUCCCCCAUGACAGUAUCCAGGUGGUUUUGGAAAGACCAUGGCCACACUGACCUUGAGGGCCUGACAGUCUAGGGCCAGCCGAACUGUAGCUCACUGCUCAUGUGCCUGCUGUUAGGUGGUUAAUGCGUCUGGUCUUCAAUCAUUUACUCGAAGAUGCUGGCAAUACCACCCCUUCCUCAACUUUGGUCUAUGGCCGCAUGUCAAGAUUACCAAGACACAGUUGAAUGAGGAAGAACAUAGCUGAGCCUGGUUUGCAGAAUGGCAGACUUGGUUGUCAAUGAGGAUAUUCUUGCAACAGAACAAUACAUUUUAAAGAAGAGGAAAACCUGAAAUGUGAAGGAACUAGUGA